rnacentral:misc_RNA from 1 species
AAGUCGUAACAAGGUUUCCGUAGGUGAACCUGCGGAAGGAUCAUUAUUAUUUGGAUCGAGUUUACUUCUCGAAAAGAGGUAAACUUCUGCCAAAUAUGAAUUUUGAAUCCUAUAUUCCUAUAGGAGCAAGAUGAACAACAUAUUUAAAACCCACACUUUGAAUGUAUUUUUUAUAUAUAUUUUGAAUGAUAAAAUUUAAAGAUCACUUUCAACAACGGAUCUCUUGGCUCUC